CCUGCCGGCGCCACGCAGAGCGGAGCUACGCGCGGCUUCCGCCGUAACGGCACGUGCGCUGAUUUUUCCAAAUUCGGCCUCCGCAUCUAGUGUGAUCUUUGCCGUUUCCACUUACCCAGUUACCCGUUUCAAGUUUUCAACGAGUUUUCCUCACUGGUUCUGGUCUGUGACAGAAGAGCAAGGGUGACUUGCGCUGGACCACUCUCCAAC